GUGGAAGCGUAGUAAUGCGUUGAGCUAACCCGUACUAAUUGCCCGUGAGGCUUAACCAUACAACACCGAAGGUGUUU
rnacentral:rRNA from 1 species